rnacentral:rRNA from 1 species
UGCGUAGGCGGCCCAAUAAGUCAGGUGUGAAAGCCCUCGGCUCAACCGGGGAAUUGCACUUGAAACUAUUGGGCUUGAGUCUCGGAGAGGGUGGCGGAAUUCCAGGUGUAGGAGUGAAAUCCGUAGAUAUCUGGAGGAGCACCAGUGGCGAAGGCGGCCACCUGGACGAGUACUGACGCUGAGGUACGAGAGCGUGGGUAGCAAACA